AACGCGAAGAACCUUACCUGGUCUUGACAUCCCCCUGACCGGUCCGUAAUGGGGCCUUCUCUUCGGAGCAGGGGAGACAGGUGGUGCAUGGUUGUCGUCAGCUCGUGUCGUGAGAUGUUGGGUUAAGUCCCGCAACGAGCGCAACCCUUAUCGUCAGUAGCCAGCAGUAAGAUGGGAACUCUGAUGAGACUGCCAGGGAUAACCUGGAGGAAGGUGGGGAUGACGUCAAAUCAUCAUGCCCCUUAUGAUUUGGGCUACACACGUGCUACAAUGGCGUAAACAAAGAGAAGCAAAGGAGUGAUCCGGAGCAAAUCUCAAAAAUAACGUCUCAGUUCGGAUUGUAGUCUGCAACUCGACUACAUGAAGCUGGAAUCGCUAGUAAUCGCGAAUCAGAAUGUCGCGGUGAAUGCGUUCCCGGGUCUUGUACACACGC
rnacentral:rRNA from 1 species